ACGAACGCUGGCGGCGUGCUUAACACAUGCAAGUCGAACGGUAAGGCCCUUCGGGGUACACGAGUGGCGAACGGGUGAGUAACGCGUGAGUAACCUGCCCUUCACUCUGGGAUAACAGUUGGAAACGGCUGCUAAUACCGGAUAUUCAGCUCCUGUCGCAUGGUGGGGGUUGGAAAGUUUUGGUGGUGGAGGAUGGGCUCGCGUCCUAUCAGCUUGUUGGUGGGGUGAUGGCCUACCAAGGCGUCGACGGGUAGCCGGCCUGAGAGGGCGACCGGCCACAUUGGGACUGAGAUACGGCCCAAACUCCUACGGGAGGCAGCAGUGGGGAAUAUUGCACAAUGGGCGGAAGCCUGAUGCAGCAACGCCGCGUGCGGGAUGACGGCCUUCGGGUUGUAAACCGCUUUCAGCAGGGACGAAGCGCAAGUGACGGUACCUGCAGAAGAAGCACCGGCUAACUACGUG
rnacentral:rRNA from 1 species